rnacentral:rRNA from 1 species
UCAGUUAUCGUUUAUUUGAUAGUACCUUACUACAUGGAUAACCGUGGUAAUUCUAGAGCUAAUACAUGCUGAAAACCCCGACUUCGGAAGGGAUGUAUUUAUUAGAUUAAAAACCAAUGCCCUCACGGGCUCUCUGGUGAUUCAUAAUAACUUCUCGAAUCGCACGGCCUUGCGCCGGCGAUGGUUCAUUCAAAUUUCUGCCCUAUCAACUUUCGACGGCUGGGUCUUGGCCAACCGUGGUGACAACGGGUAACGGAGGGUUAGGGCUCGACCCCGGAGAAGGAGCCUGAGAAACGGCUACUACAUCCAAGGAAGGCAGCAGGCGCGCAAAUUACCCAAUCCCGACACGGGGAGGUAGUGACAAUAAAUACUGAUACAGGGGCUCUUUUCGGGUCUGGUAAUUGGAAAUGAGUACAAUUUAAAAUCUCCUUAACGAGGAACAAUUUGGAGGGGCAAGUCUGGUGCCAGCAGCCGCGGUAAUUCCAGCUCCCAAUAGCGUAUAUUAAAGUUGUUGCAGGUUAAAAAGCUCGUAGUUGAAACCUUGGGCCUAGCCGGCCGGUCCGCCUCACCGCGUGCCACUGUCUCGGCCUGGGCCUUUCCUUGGGAGAACUCGCAUGCCCUUCACUGGCGUGUGCCGGGGAUCCAGGCCUUUUUCCGUGAAAAAAAUAGAUCGCUUAAAGAAGGCCUAUGCUUGAAUACAUUCACAUGGAAUAAUAGAAUAGGACGUGUGGUUAUAUUUUGUUGGUUUAUAGGACCGCCGUAAUGAUUAAUAGGGCACAGUCGGGGGCAUACAGUAUUCGAAUUGUCAGAGGUGAAAUUAUUGGAUUUAUUGAGAGACUAACUACUGCGAAGGCAUUUCCCAAGGAUGUUUUCUUUAAUCAGGAACGAAAAGUUAGGGGAUCGAAGACGAUCAGAUACCGUCGUAGUCUU